UUCCGGUUGAUCCUGCCGGAGGUCACUGCUAUUGGGAUUCGACUAAGCCAUGCGAGUCGAGAGGGUUCGGCCCUCGGCAUACGGCUCAGUAACACGUGGAUAAUCUGCCCUUAGGUGGAGGAUAAUCUCGGGAAACUGAGAAUAAUACUCCAUAGAUUUAAGAUGCUGGAAUGCACUUAAAUUAAAAGUUCCGGCGCCUAAGGAUGAGUCUACGGACUAUCAGGUAGUAGUUAGGGUAAAGACCUGACUAGCCUAUGACGGAUACGGGUUGUGAGAGCAAUAACCCGGAGACGAUAUCUGAGACACGAUAUCGGGCCCUACGGGGCGCAGCAGGCGCGAAAACUUUCACACUGUGCGAAAGCGCGAUGAGGGAAUCCCAAGUGCUUGCUUGUAAAAGUAAGCUGUUUUUAUGUUUAAAAAGCAUGAAGAGUAAGGGCUGGGUAAGACGGGUGCCAGCCGCCGCGGUAAUACCUGCAGCUCAAGUAGUGAUCGCUAUUAUUGGGCCUAAAACGUUCGUAGCCGGUUUGGUAAAUGCCUGGGUAAAUCGUGUAGCUUAACUAUACGAAUUCCGGGUAGACUGCCAAACUUGAAACCGGGAGAAGCUAGAGGUACUCCUGGGGUAGAGGUGAAAUUCUGUAAUCCUGGGGGGACCACCAGUGGCGAAGGCGUCUAGCUAGAACGGGUUUGACGGUGAGGAACGAAGCCCUGGGGCGCAAACCGGAUUAGAUACCCGGGUAGUCCAGGGUGUAAACGCUGCUUGCUUGAUGUUAGUUGGGCUCCGAGCCCAAUUAGUGUCGGAGAGAAGUUGUUAAGCGAGCUGCCUGGGAAGUACGGUCGCAAGGCUGAAACUUAAAGGAAUUGGCGGGGGAGCAC
rnacentral:rRNA from 1 species